GAUGUAGCUCAGUGGUAGAGCACUUGCCUAGCAUGCAUGAGGCCUGGGUUCCAUUCCUAGCAUC
rfam:Heterocephalus glaber contig150928, whole genome shotgun sequence.